CAACUCUUUGUCAGUGGAUCUGCAAUAUUAUUAAAUGUGAAAAUUUGCUCUUCUCUUUACAUCAUUUCUAUGUAUUAUCUCUUUGAUGAGAUUAUACCGCCUUAAUACAUGUUUGGAUCAUUGAUGAGACCUUAGUUCCUUUGCUUUCGCAAUGGCUCUAUUGUUAUCACAAUACUAUUGUAUGUGAUCAACAAUAUCAGGAACUACUCCAAGUUCAUUUAUGAACAUCAUGAUCCAUAUUGCAACUCUUUGCUACUUCUGAAGUAUCCAUGUAUUAGGUUUCUACUAUUGAAUCAACGGUUGCUUCACGUUUGGAACCUUUCUAACAUACCGCUUAAGAGUAAACCAAUUUCUCCAUAUGAAAUCUUCUCAAGAUUUCAUCUAUGUAAAUUGGGAUGAGUUAAGCAAUCUUCUAGAUCUACC
rnacentral:lncRNA from 1 species